rnacentral:rRNA from 1 species
AUGACGAAGUCUACGGAGCAUUACGCGUGAGUGAUAAGGUUCCGGAUCGUAAAACUCUGUUGUUAGGGAAGAACAAGUGCCAUAGUAACUGAUGGCACCUUAGACGGUACCUAACCAGAAAGCCACGGCUAACUACGUGCCAGCAGCCGCGGUAAUACGUAGGUGGCAAGCGUUGUCCGGAAUUAUUGGGCGUACAGCGCUCGCAGGCGGCUCUUUAAGUCUGAUGUGAAAUCUUACGGCUCAACCGUAAACGUGCAUUGGAAACCUGGGGAACUUGAGUGCAGACCAGGACAGUGGAAUUCCCACCGUGUACCGGUGAAAUGCGUACACAUGUGGCAGGAACACCCACGUGGCGAAACGCGACUCUCUGGUCUGUAACUUGACGCUGAGGAGCGAAAGCGUGGGUGAGCGAACAGGAUUACAU